rnacentral:rRNA from 1 species
UACGGAGGAUCCAAGCGUUAUCCGGAGUGACUGGGCGUAAAGAGUUGCGUAGGUGGUUAUGUAAGUGAAUAGUGAAACCUGGUGGCUCAACCAUACAGACUAUUAUUCAAACUGUAUAACUCGAGAAUGGUAGAGGUAGCUGGAAUUUCUAGUGUAGGAGUGAAAUCCGUAGAUAUUAGAAGGAACACCAAUGGCGUAGGCAGGCUACUGGACCAUUUCUGACACUAAGGCACGAAAGCGUGGGGAGCGAACCGG